CCUACGGGUGGCAGCAGUGAGGAAUAUUGGUCAAUGGUCGGGAGACUGAACCAGCCAAGCCGCGUGAGGGAUGAAGGUACAGAGUAUCGUAAACCUCUUUUGUCAGGGAACAAAGGCGGGGACGCGUCCCCGGUUGAGUGUACCUGAAGAAAAAGCAUCGGCUAACUCCGUGCCAGCAGCCGCGGUAAUACGGAGGAUGCGAGCGUUAUCCGGAUUUAUUGGGUUUAAAGGGUGCGCAGGCGGUCUGUUAAGUCAGUGGUCAAAGCCCGGGGCUCAACCCCGGCCCGCCGUUGAAACUGGCAGUCGCGAGUUGGAGAGAAGUAUGCGGAAUGCGCGGUGUAGCGGUGAAAUGCAUAGAUAUCGCGCAGAACUCCGACUGCGAAGGCAGCAUGCCGGCUCCACACUGACGCUGAGGCACGAAAGCGUGGGUAUCGAACAGGAUUAGAUACCCCUGUAGUC
rnacentral:rRNA from 1 species